UACGUAGGUGGCAAGCGUUGUCCGGAUUUACUGGGCGUAAAGAGCGCGCAGGCGGCCAAGUCAGUCGAAUGUGAAAGCCCCCGGCUUAACUGGGGAGGGUCAUUCGAUACUGCUCGGCUCGAAGACAGGAGAGGGAAGUGGAAUUCCCGGUGUAGUGGUGAAAUGUGUAGAUAUCGGGAGGAACACCAGUGGCGAAGGCGACUUUCUGGCCUGUUCUUGACGCUGAGGCGCGAAAGCUAGGGGAGCAAACGGG
rnacentral:rRNA from 1 species